AAUGAAGUGUCUGAUUUAAAAGAGUUAUUUUGAUAGAAUAAACCAUGUGAAAACUUUCACCUUCAUUA
rnacentral:tRNA from 1 species